UUGGAGCCGUCUCUCCUCAGCCUGCCCUGGUGUGACGGGGCCCGGACAGGGCGUUUUUACACGAAAUCUCUCAGAAUUCUUCUUUUCACUCAGAGGGACCCGGAAAGGCUGGGGUAGGGGGCUGGGGCUGCGCUGUUCCAUUGGCAGCGGGAGGGUGACCUUGCCGCCGGCGGGCCACCAAGGCCGCCGGUCCCCCCGCGCCCCAGUGGAGGUCAGCGCAUGCGCGGUCGCUCCCCCGGAACUUUUCUCUCCCGGAACGUUUCUGCUCACACCCGGCCCCCGCCCGGUGCGCGCGGGGCUGAGGGGAAAAUGGCGGCGCCCAUAAGUGAAGGGUCUGCCGCCUUGGAGCCUGGCGCUGCUCCCUACGGGAACUUCCCCAAUUAUUCCCGCUUCCACCCGCCCGAGGGGCGAGUCAGCCUCCUGCCUGGCGGGCUCUUGCGGAGCCUGUUCCCCGCGGCGGCCCGCCCGCUGCUGGGGCUCGAUGUGGGAUGCAACUCGGGGGAGCUAAGUGUGGCUCUGUACAGGCAUCUCCUUGGCCUUCAGGAAAGCGAAGGCAGCCUGGACCAGCCUGCAGCUGGAAAGGAUCUGAACCUUCUCUGCUGUGACAUUGAUCCGGUGUUGAUUGAGAGGGCUCAGCAGUGCAGCCCCUUUCCUGCCUCCAUAUCCUUUGCCAACCUGGACAUCAUGGACUCCAGUGCCAGGGAGCCAUUCCUGAGCUCCUACCUGGGCCGCUUUGGCCGCUCCACCUUUGACAUUGGUUUUUGUAUGUCUGUGACUAUGUGGAUCCACCUGAAUCAUGGGGAUAGUGGCCUGAUGGAGUUUCUGUCCUUCCUCUCCUCUCUCUGCAAGUACCUGCUGAUUGAACCUCAGCCAUGGAAGUGCUAUAGGGCAGCCGCACGCCGCCUGCGGAAGCUGGGCAGGAAUGACUUUGAUCACUUCCGAUCCCUGGCUAUCAAUGGCGAUAUGGUGGAGAGGAUAACCCAAAUCUUAACACAGGACUGUGCCAUGGAGCUGGUGUGUUGCUUUGGGAGCACCAGCUGGGACAGAAGUCUCUUGCUUUUUAAAUCAAAUGGCUCAAAUCCUGAGGUCAGGGACUCUUCAGAACAGGAGCAGUGACUGACAAAUGGCCUUUUACAUUCAUGAAUUUAUAGGCAAGGAGGUGUCUGUUUACAGAGUCAGAUCUAGGAAUUCAUGUUCCCUGUUGGGACCAGACCUUGGACCCUGUAGGGAGUUUGAGGCAAGUAACGUCUGCAUGACUUUUUUCCCUUUCCAUCUGCAAAGUGCAGCAGCAGCUUUAACCUACCCUGUGGGUUCUGAGAUUGCUGUUCCUAGAAAGUGCUCUUGAAAUCUGAGUUGCUACAUAUGUGCUUUCUAUGUGUACCAAGAAUAUUCCCUGGAAGAAGAGAGCAUGCCUUUUUUGCCCCUGGAGCUCUGAGCAAAGGGGACAUUUCUGUUGACCUGUGCAAUGCACUGUUCUGCUUCUUGUCAUGUUUUCUGUAUAAAAUGCUCUUGGAAAACAUAUAACCUUGUUUACCAGCUAUGGACAAGCAAGUUUGAUCGUUGCAGAGGAUGUCUGAUUGACAGAUUGCCCAGAGAAGUUGUGGAUACCCCAUCUCUGGUGUCGUGGUUCAGCCUCAGUCAGCAACUAAAAACCUGGCAGCCGCUUGCUCACCCCCCACCCCUGUGGGAUGGGGGAGAGAAUCGGAGGAGCAAAAGCACAAAAAAACUUAUGGGUUGAGAUAGGAACAUUUUAAUAAUUACAGUAAUGAUUAUGAUAACAAUAGUGGUAAUAUAAUAAAAUGGAAAAGGAAAAAAGGGGAAAAAAACCCCAGAAACACAAACGAUACAACCGCUCACCACCCGCUGACUGAUGCUGCUGGUCCCCGAGCUGCGAUUGCUGCCUCCCUCCCCUGGCCAGCCCCUCCCAGGUACCGCACUGGGCAUGACGUUACAUGGUAUGGAAAUAUCCCUUUGGCCAGUUUGAAUCCUCUCUUAGCUGUGCCCCCGGUAGAUCAUGUGAAGCUGGAAAUGUCCUUGACUAGUACAAGCGCUGCCCAGCAACAGCCACAACAUCAGUGUGUUAUCAACAUUGUUCUCAGACAAAGUCCAAAGCACAGCACCGCACCAGCUGCAGUAGAGAGAGUUAACUCCAUCCCAGCUAAAACCGUGACACCUGGAAGCAUUCAAGGUUCCGCUGCUUCCUUACUGCGGGGUGAGAGGGAAGCCCAGGUAUGUGCCGUGAGAGCUUGGUGCUGGAGAAGGAGGGACGAGGAGGAUGUCUCCUCCAGGAGGAGCUCUUGUUUAGCAGUUCUCCUGCCCAGGUUGCUGCUUCUCCUUUCCAGGAAGCUGUCAGGAGAUGAGGCAGGUGGGAACCCAGCUCCGUGACAGUGCGAUAGAAGAGAGCCUGUGGAUCUCAACUGCAGUGCUUAUCAAAAUGGGCACCAGCUCACGCACAUCUAUCCUUGGCAUCAUGACGGUGCUCUGGAGAGGCUGGCCUUUCCAAGCCGCCACAAACUCUCCACACAGGAAGGAGGAACGUCCCCAUCUCUGCCAAGAGCUGAUGAAGGUAUCCUCAGCAAUUAAUUUCCAGAGUCUGAGAGCCUUCUCAAGGGAGAAAACUUUGGCUUGUGAAAAUUCUGAGAAUACUGGACUGCUGUCAUAACUUACCCUAAAUGGGGAGCAAUUUGUGAAGUAACACAGGACCUGGCAAAGCAAUUUGUGGAAAAUAGCGCCCACAGAGAAGGUAACAAAAACCGGCCGGGAUAGGGUGGAGUCCUCAUGGCUAAAUAUCCAGCAGAGGAACCAGCCCUGCAGCUGUUUAAA